CAGUAGCCGCGGGAAUACGUAGGGUGCAAGCGUUAAUCGGAAUUACUGGGCGUAAAGCGUGCGCAGGCGGUUCGUUAAGACAGAUGUGAAAUCCCCGGGCUUAACCUGGGAACUGCAUUUGUGACUGGCGGGCUAGAGUAUGGCAGAGGGGGGUAGAAUUCCACGUGUAGCAGUGAAAUGCGUAGGGAUGUGGAGGAAUACCGAUGGCGAAGGCAGCCCCCUGGGCCAAUACUGACGCUCAUGCACGAAAGCGUGGGGAGCAAACAGGAUUAGAUACCCGCGUAGUCCCUGUCUCUUAUAC
rnacentral:rRNA from 1 species